AGUCUGUUCUUUGUGUUGACCUCACUACACCCACACAACUAUUUUAUAGGACCUUUAAGCACUGGAUACACUUUACUAUCAAUACCUAGUUCUACAUUUUGGCUAUAAAGUUUUGGAAUGCCAGUCCAACUGUCAGAAUGCUGUUGAGAAUAUCCUUUUUUUUUGCAUGCUGUAAACGGUGAUGGCCUCCACAAGGCAGUGGACGUGGUGUGUGAUGAUUACGGUAUUUGCAGGGCCCCCUUCUCAGGUAUCCUGGGGGGUCCAGUGGUCGGUAUCCUGUGUGAUGGCAUUAAACUCUAACUCUGGUGAGAACUUCAUACUGUACGGUGUACACUUGUAGCUUCAUUGCGGUAGAUCUCACAUUCAGUGACAACCACACAGGAGACUCGUAACUCAAGGAUGCUCCUACACCAUGACUGUGAGAGCUUGAACAGCACUAACUAAUGAUUAUAACCUGUCUCCAUGAUCUAGUAGCAUGUAAUGGUGCAUUAGGUAGGCCUAUGUUCUACCCAGGCUGAUGUCUCACUAUAGAGGAAGUAACGAGUGAUUUGGAGGGAUUAGCCAAAACACUGGAGCAGGGCUGAGAUUACACUGAACUCCCCUUUGACACUUGGACCUGGCUGUUCUUAAAAUCCCAUCAAAGACAGCUAACACAUGAGGAUCUGGCCGUCAUUAAGAACGCAGCAAUGCGUCUGCAUUAGCCAUCUGCAUCCUGGCCUGAAAAGCAGCAGUGCAGGAACAGCUAAACAACAGUAUUCUGGUCCUUGCUACCUCUAAUUGAACUGCGG
rnacentral:lncRNA from 1 species